GACAGAGGUGCCAAGCGUUAGGCGGAAUCACUGGGCUUAAAGCGUGUGUAGGUGGAUUUGUAAGUACCUUGUGAAAUCCCAUGGCUCAACCAUGGAACUGCUCGGUAUACUGCGAAUCUUGAGCCACUUAGGGGCUACCGGAACAAAUGGUGGAGUGGUGAAAUGCGUAGAUAUCAUUUGGAACGCCAAUGGUGAAAACAGGUAGCUGGGAGUGUGCUGACACUGAGACACGAAAGCCAGGGGAGCGAACGGGAUUG
rnacentral:rRNA from 1 species